rnacentral:rRNA from 1 species
CAGUCGCCGCGGUAAUACGUAGGGUGCAAGCGUUAAUCGGAAUUACUGGGCGUAAAGCGUGCGCAGGCGGUUUUGUAAGACAGAGGUGAAAUCCCCGGGCUCAACCUGGGAACUGCCUUUGUGACUGCAAGGCUAGAGUACGGCAGAGGGGGAUGGAAUUCCGCGUGUAGCAGUGAAAUGCGUAGAUAUGCGGAGGAACACCGAUGGCGAAGGCAAUCCCCUGGGCCUGUACUGACGCUCAUGCACGAAAGCGUGGGGAGCAAACAGGAUUAGAUACCCCGGUAGUCCCUGUCUCUUAUAC